rnacentral:rRNA from 1 species
AACGAACGCUGGCGGCAUGCCUGACACAUGCAAGUCGAACGAAAAAUAGCAAUAUUUUUAGUGGCAAACGGGUGAGUAACGCGUGGGAAUUUGCCUUUUGGUGGGGAAUAACUGUGGGAAACUACAGCUAAUACCGCAUAAGCUCGGAAACGAGGAAAGAUUUAUCGCCAAGGGAGAAGCCUGCGUCAGAUUAGGUAGUUGGUGGGGUAAAGGCUCACCAAGCCAACGAUCUGUAGCUGGUCUGAGAGGACGACCAGCCACACUGGGACUGAGACACGGCCCAGACUCCUACGGGAGGCAGCAGUGGGGAAUUUUGGACAAUGGACGCAAGUCUGAUCCAGCCAUGCCGCGUGCGGGAAGAAGGCCUUCGGGUUGUAAACCGCUUUUGUCAGGGAAGAAACGCUCUGGGUUAAUACCUCGGGGUAAUGACGGUACCUGAAGAAUAAGCACCGGCUAACUACGUGCCAGCCGCCGCAGUAA